rnacentral:rRNA from 1 species
AUUGAACGCUGGCGGCAUGCCUUACACAUGCAAGUCGAACGGUAACAGGUCUUCGGAUGCUGACGAGUGGCGAACGGGUGAGUAAUACAUCGGAACGUGCCCGAUCGUGGGGGAUAACGGAGCGAAAGCUUUGCUAAUACCGCAUACGAUCUACGGAUGAAAGCAGGGGACCGCAAGGCCUUGCGCGGACGGAGCGGCCGAUGGCAGAUUAGGUAGUUGGUGGGAUAAAAGCUUACCAAGCCGACGAUCUGUAGCUGGUCUGAGAGGACGACCAGCCACACGGGGACUGGGACACGGCCCAGACUCCUAGGGGAGGCAGAAGUGGGGAAUUUGGGACAAGGGGCGAAAGCCUGAUCCAGCCGUGCCGGGUGAAGGAGGAAGGCUUUCGGGUUGUAAACUUCUUUUGUAGGGAAAGAAAAGACUUUUUCUAAAAAAGGGGGUCCAUGACGGUACCGAAAAAAAAAGCCCCGGCUAACUAGGGG